rnacentral:rRNA from 1 species
UACGUAGGGGGCAAGCGUUGUCCGGAAUCAUUGGGCGUAAAGCGCGCGUAGGCGGCCCGGUAAGUCCGCUGUAAAAGUCCAGGGCUCAACCCUGGAAAGCCGGUGGAUACUGUCGGGCUAGAGUCCGGAAGAGGAGAAUGGAAUUCCCGGUGUAGCGGUGAAAUGCGCAGAUAUCGGGAAGAACACCCGUGGCGAAGGCGGUUCUCUGGGACGGUACUGACGCUGAGACGCGAAAGCGUGGGGAGCGAACAGG